UACGGGGGGAGCAAGCGUUGUUCGGAUUUACUGGGCGUAAAGGGCGCGUAGGCGGCCACCGCAAGUCGACUGUGAAAUCUCCGGGCUUAACCCGGAAAGGUCAGCCGAUACCGCGGGGCUAGAGUGCAGAAGGGGCAACUGGAAUUCUCGGUGUAGCGGUGAAAUGCGUAGAUAUCGAGAGGAACACCUGCGGCGAAGGCGGGUUGCUGGGCUGACACUGACGCUGAUGUGCGAAAGCGUGGGGAGCGAACAGG
rnacentral:rRNA from 1 species